CCCAGUGCCCUCUUCUAAGCUCUUUAUCAUCAUAAUUUCUGAUGUAAAGAGCAUGAUGCCAUGGACAAAAUGGGCCCUCAGUGACUAUCCGAUGCAGGGCCAGGCACUGAAUGCAGAUGCAUAUACUGGAGCUCAGAGGAUUUCAGUGAGUUACCCCGGCCACAGCCAGUGAGCAGCGAUGUCAAGAUGUCUUGAAUCCUGGGCCUCAGCUGCAAAGCCGUAACCAGUCCUCUGUGUUCCCAUGGGCCAGUGCUUUACAAAGGUCCUUGCAGGUUCAUCCCUAGAAGAUUGUGGUAUUUCUGGCCAUACGCAGGAAAGGUGCCACAGAUGCUCAAGUAUAGGCAUCAGCUACCACCCCAUCUGCUGGUGGUGCUCAUACUUCUCCGGGAUACCUCCCCUCCAGUCUCCUCCACCCCUACAGGGUCAGCACUGCUCUUAAGCCUUGAAGUGUCACAUCUGCAUGGCAGCUGCCAGCAAAAGGGAGAAAAAUCUCUGUAUCCCUUCAGGUGACACUAGUUGCUGUAUGGAUAAACACCUAAAUCUCACUUGGCUGAACACAAUAAAAGUUUAUCUGGUGCUCACA
rnacentral:lncRNA from 1 species